UUAAUCUUCUGACAACGAUGAAGGAUUGAAUCAGAGAAUUUCCUGGUAUUGACCAGGUUCAUUCUGCGAGCAGCAACAACUGGCAUCGAUCCAAGAAGGCAUUUUUUUUGGUGGUUGAUGUGUUUAUUCUAAAGCCUGCGGCAAUGCAGCACGGUCUGGAAGGACACUGAAGUCAAUUCCCUCUAAAGGAGAGAGAGGCCUGCUUGUUAGUUGUUAAUGCCUUUAGUUUAUAGGAUUAAACAAACAAUCCAACAACUCUAGUGACGAGACCCUUAAAUUCCAUGGAGAAAAUGCUGCCCCUCUCCUUUCCAUUCUGCAUUUAAAAACAGACAGCCCAGUGAGAUUUGCAUCUCCACAUAUAAACAAUUGCCUACUAAUUCUAUCACAAGGUCAGCCAACCCAAAGUUGGUUUUAUUGUGGUUUUAUUGUGCUCUAAUGCUUAGAAAAGAUUCAUAUCUUCUCUUUGCUCUUGGUAGGGAGGAAGAAAGACUGCGUGACUGAGAUAAGGGUAGGUCAUCCACACGGGUUUCAUGGGGACUAAGGGAUUCACUCUUCUCUUCAUUCUCAUCUUGGCAUCGCUCAUCUCAGUUUCAUCUGCUGGUAGGUUUGAGCGAAACCCAACGAUUUCAAAUAUUCUCAAAACAACUGUGCUUCAAUCUUCUUAGAAAUAUUUGGUUUAAAGCUGCCUGUUUUUCUCGAGUUCAGGAAUUCUUUCUUCGAAGACGACACGCUAUAUUGAUCUUAUAAUUAAACUUUUUGUCUUCGUUUUUGCAGUCCUCUUUGAAUAAAAACUCUGAGGCUUACCAGAUUUGUUUUUCCAACAUCUAGCAUAUUUUGCAUGCAAAACAAACUGUGUGUUAAGGUUUUAGCUUUCUCGGUAAUACAUGACCAGAAUUCGGCAGUUAUGAGCAAAUAUUGAUGUUUCAGGCAAAAGCUCAAUAUCUGUUCAUGAACUAACCCAUGAAAAACAUAUAUAUCUUCGUUAUUGAUACCUAUGAUGAAAUAUCUUUUCUAUAAUCGUCCUGGGGUUUACAAAUCAACAUCAGCAAGAAAUAUUGAAGUAGCUUGCUCUAUGAUGUGGAAUAAAUACUACUACUUUCGCAACUCAUGCUAUGCUUUAGAUGCAGUGCUUGACAACAUCUAAAUAUCAUAUUAAUGCUCUUUAUUCAUGACUUUAUCUGCUGUUCAAUAUACUAGAACAUUCUAAGAAACUUUGAUAAGUUUC
rnacentral:lncRNA from 1 species